rnacentral:rRNA from 1 species
CUACGGGCUGCACCAGUGAGGAAUAUUGCACAAUGGGGGAAACCCUGAUGCAGCAACGCCGCGUGGAGGAUGACGCAUUUCGGUGUGUAAACUCCUUUUAUCAGAGAAGAAAAUGACGGUAUCUGAUGAAUAAGCUCCGGCUAACUCCGUGCCAGCAGCCGCGGUAAUACGGAGGGAGCAAGCGUUAUUCGGAAUCACUGGGCGUAAGGGACGCGUAGGCGGGUUUGUAAGUCAGGUGUGAAAUCCUAUGGCUCAACCAUAGAACUGCACUUGAAACUGGGGACCUAGAGUAUGAAAGGGGCAGGUGGAAUUAGUGGUGUAGGGGUAAAAUCCGUAGAUAUCACUAGGAAUACCGAAAGCGAAGGCGACCUGCUGGGACAUUACUGACGCUGAGGCGUGAAAGCGUGGGGAGCAAACAGGAUUAGAUACCCCAGUAGUC